AAUUGUUAAUUGUUAAGUGUUAAUUAUUAAUUGUUAAGUGUUAAUUGUUAAGUGUUAAUUGUUAAUUAUUAAUUUCUUUUUUUUUUUUUUUUUACAAAUUUAGAAAACAAAUUUCAAUUGGUACCAACAGCUGCAUUAUUAAUAUACUUCUAUUUAUUAUUAAAAGAAAAGUAUACUAUAUUAAAAAUAGAAGUGGACAAGGGUAGAUAUAUAGAACAUAUUGUUUUAGUGUGAAGAAAAUUAAAAAAGAACAAAUACCGUUAUCUAAGGAUUGCAUUUAUAUAUAAUUUUAAAGUUUAAUAUUAUAACAUAUGUAUAUAAUCAGAAAAGUAACAUUUUUAAGUUCUACUAAUAUUCCGAACAUUGCUAUAUGCACUUAACUAUAUAUAUAUAUAUAUAUAUAUAUAUACAUACACAUACAUACAUACACAUACAUAUAAUACAAAAAAAUGAAAUAUAACACAAUUUGUAUUUUCUUACUAGUAAUUGAAUUAUUUAGUUUAGUGAGUUCCUUUGUCAGAAAUGGAGUAAAUAAUAAUGCACAAACGUUAACACCCACUCUCGAGAAAAGUGCAAUUGAUAAAUCAAAUAAUUUAGCUGCUAAAAAUGAUGAAAUAUGUGAGCCACAACAUAUGGCUGAAGAAAUGAUGGAACAUAUGUUAAAGGAUAAUGACCUAUUUAGUCAUAUAAUAGAUCCCCUGCAAAAUAAAAUGAGUAACACAUAUUCAUGUUCACAUAUAAAACACACCAACAUGUGUAUGAAUGAAAAAGAUAAGGUACCUUUUUCAUUAACAUGUACAAGUGAUAAAUAUGAAAAAUUAAUAGACGAUUUUACAAAUAAACGCUUAUGUCAUUCUGCAAUAGCUUUUAGCAACACUCUGUUAAAAUCUUUUAUUGAUCCUGAUAAAAAUGCUAAUACAUUUGAAAGAAUGAUAGCAAGUUAUAAAACUGUAUUAACAUGCAUUGAUAGUGAUUUAAAAGAUAUUUACAAUAAAAGCAUGAGUUUAUUUUCCGAUUUACGUGAUGCUAUUGUUAAAGUGGUAAAAGCAGGAUCUUCCCAAAAAAUUAUUGAAGUUUUAAAAAAAAGAGAAAAAUUAAUAACUUCUGUUUUUUGUGAAUUAAGAAAAGGUGCAAAUUCAAAAAUUGUAAGCAGCGGUUUAGUAUAUGAAUUUUUCACUAUUUUAAAAGUUGACGCUCAGGAUUUGUUAGAUGAAGCAUAUGUUGCAUUCUCGGAUUACUAUCAAACUUUUCCAAAUUUGGCCAAAACUUUAUUAGAAAAAGAUGGAUUAUUAGAUAGAUUAACUUAUAUUCAUGAACAAUUAACAAUUGCUAGAACUAAAAGUAUAUUGGAUAAAAUAAAUAAGCAUGCAAAAGAUGAAGUAAUAAAUAAUGAAGCAUUAUUAAAACAAUUUGAUAAUUACAAACAUCACCACACAAAUGGUUCAUCUACUUUCGUACAACAGAAUGAAGUUAUAAUGAAUAAAAACUCUCAAAAUGUUAACACUCUUUCUGCAAAAGUAUAUAACAAUAAUUCCGAUGUAAAUAAAGUUCAAAUUCCAGCUCAAAAAACAGUCGUACAAAAUAUAUCAAAUAGUGAUCAUACACAAGAAAAUGACGAAUUAAAAAAUAAUUCCGAUGCAAUUAAAGUUCAAAUUCCAACUAAACAAACAGUCGUACAAAAUACAUCAAAUAGUGAUCAUACACAAGAAAAUGAUGAAUUAAAAAAUACUUUAUAUUCUACAGAUAAAUUACCACUAAAAAAUGUUAAAGAUUUAACUAAAGAGUUAAUAAACGAUAUUGGUGUUGUUAAAUUUGAUAAAGGUGAACCCACUGAAUACAUUGAUGAAAUUGCAGUUAAAAAAUUAAUAGAAAUAUAUUUCCUUGAUUUGACCAAUAACACUAUGCUAGUUCAUAUGUUACUAAAACCACAAGCAGCAUUAUUAUUAAUCAUUCAAUCCUUUAUUAAUAUGACACCUUCUCCGAAAAAAGAUGCAAUAUCAUUUUGUAAAAAAUCUUUAGUUGAUAAUAAACUAGUUGAUGUUAUUAAUCCAAAUCAAGAGUCAGAUGAAGAUAAAUUAAUUAAAGAUUUUGCUGCUAAGUAUAAUGCUAUUUAUGAAGAAAUAAAAAUGGAAGAAACAAAGGAAGAAGAAAAACGUAUAAUAGAUUUGAAAAAUAAGCCUACAACAUUAUCAGCAUUACAAGUACAAAAUAAGAAUAAACCAGACAGUUCUCAAGGUACGUCAAGCAGCAAUACUUCGUUGAUCGCAAUGUUAUCUGAAAAAGACGGUGUAAACGUAGAAGAGUUAGUUAAUGAAAAUGUACAAAUGAAAAAUUUGGAACCUGAUAUUGAUAAUGCUUAUCAACCUUUUAACGUAAGUUCAACUUUGUAUAUUAAAACUUCCUUUGGAUUCUUAUUUUUUGUUGCUGCUUUUAUAUGUUUCUUGUAAUUCUAUUAAA
rnacentral:lncRNA from 1 species